rnacentral:lncRNA from 1 species
GCUUGAUCCUGGAACUGUUGGAUCGACGUGCCUGCGGGGAAUCCCUUCAGACAGGACUGGAACUACUCUGUAUGGGGGUCAAGCGAUCUGAGUGGGAGACUUUAAAGGUGCAGGGAGGAGGCUGAGGCUCAGUAGGAGGGGCCCGCCGGGAGGGGAGUGGAGGGCUGGGGCUCAGGUGCCUGAGGAGGACUGGUGGCCGUGGAGGCAGACACGGUGAUGGACACGGAGGAGCAGUGAGCCCAUGAUAAGGCUUGCACACAAAAGCUCACAAAACCACACAAAACCCAGGGAUCCUUCAUGAUGGAAGCUGCCGUGGAAGUCGGAUGGACGUUCAUUCCUCUGCUGUGAGCACAGUGCUCUGGGUGACAGAGGAGUAACAACCAGGCUUGCUGACGGGGAAUACCCCUCCACGUAAGGGUAAUGGCACAUACACCACGCAGCGCAGGGCUGGCUCGGAGAUGGGUUUCGCUUUCCCGCAUGGCUUCGGCCUGGGCCCUGCCUUUUUGUACAUUUGAAUUAGUGGUGAACACCACAAACUAGAAGAUUGCACAUAAGAAUCAGAAUGUUUCGGCUUCUCUUGGGAAUAGAAGCACUUGGUGUGCAGGGUUUACUUUUCCCUGAUGAUGGCAGCUGGCUGAACUCUGGCGGCCCCCACAUCCGUCACGUGCUCUUCAGCAUCCCUGUCACCAUAGAAACCCCAUCCUGCCGUUCACUUCUGCCUCCUCCCUGCGUUCCAGGUUCCAGGCAUUGGAGCACAGAUGUGUCGACUGCAACCUGCCUGGAGCGGCUCUGGGCUAGUGUUUCUCAAAGUAUGUCCUCAGGAUUCUGUCAUCAGAGGCACCUGGGAAAACAGUGCAGAGUCCAGCCCCCCUCCAGACCUACAGAAGGUGAAUGUGGGGGCCUGGGAAUGUGCAUUUUAAGCAUGUGAAUCUGUCCUGGGGGUGGCGGGUAACAACACCUUCCUGAAUCCAGACGACUCAUCAGCU